AAAGAAUACAGGUCAACCGAAUUUGAAUUCCGAGUAUCCAUCGAUCUGCAAAUUAUUAUUUUUUAAAUAUUCUUUCAUAAAAAAUAAAAAAUAUUACAAAUAUGUAUAUUAUUUUAAUUACAAAUCUAUAGUUUAUUAUUUUCUUUACUAAUAUAUAAAAAUUUUAUUAGAUGAAUAAUUAUAAUUGAGAAAAUUUUAUUAUAAUUAAUAAUACCUGCAGGUUCAACGGUUUACAGGUACAAUUUGACAGAGGAAAAGCAAAUUACAGAAAAAUUUUCUUUGUAAAUUAUACGGAUCAGAUUUUAUAAUAAGAAAAAUAACUCAAUCCACAAACUUAUUAAUGGAUCAAGCAGAAUCAGUUUGACUAGCUUUCCAAUGCACAAACUACCUUUUUUUUACCCAAAAAAAAUAAAUCAGCCAAUCAUAUGGUGUUGAUUUGCCACAUCAGCCUAGCUUCUGAGUUAUCGAACAAAAAUUCGGCUGCAUUAGAUUUCGCUACACAUUUCAAAACCCAAUAAAAGCUCAAUGUCUAAUGGCCCAUUUAAAUAUUCACACCAAUAAGAUACUCCCAAAACUCCACCUCACCAAUCAGGCGUCCUAAAAAGACUCUUGACUUUUUCUUUUCUUCUCCUCAUACUCGACAUUUCUUCAAACGAUGGUCUUCUCAUCUCCCAUACCUUCCUCCAUGUCUCAUGAUUAUAUAUUGAUUCAAUCCACAAACUCACUACCUGUAGAUCAAUUCGACUGCUUGAUUCAAUUUCUUCACUACGAAAUACAAUUUUCCAGUUUUAAAAUACAAUUCAAACGAUUGUAUCAUAUCUCGAACCGUUUUGAUAUGUUUCCAGGCCUAUAUGGUGGUGCGUUCGGACCUAAAGGCACUGAGAUAGUACAACUUCAUCGUAAGUAUGGUCACUGGAGUGAUGCCGAGGAAAUAACUCCUCAGAUACUGAAAUCUUUGAAUAUAGUGAGGCGGUGAAGUUACAUGGGAUCCAAAUGUGUUGGCUGGCCAGGUGAAAUUUCGUGCAAGUGUUGGAAGGGAAGUCGUGUGAGGGAUCGUGGAUUGUACCCAGGUGAAAUGGGAGUGGUAAUGACAGUUUACUCAUCUCUCUGAGUUUCGGUUUUAUGAGAACUACAAUUACUGACCUAAAACCCAGACACGUAAACCGAUAAAAAAUCCAGAGCAAAAGUCAAAACCGUGCUUCGGUUUUCCUAUUGAAAUAAUAGAUACACUAGGUGAUAACCCGCGCCUUGCGCGGGGUGAAUUGACUCGGUGAUUUAAUGUUUGACAUCCAAAAUAAAAUCUGUAUUUGCAAUAUAUGAUUGAUAAAGUAGGACUUUAUAACACCGGAAGAAAGUUUCAAGAACGGUAAAAACAUAUUUAAACAAUAAAAUAAGUCUUUUAUAACUUAAAAGCUCAUUUAUUAUUAAGAUGCAUAAUUAAAGAAUUUAUCAUAAUAGUUCUUAAGUAAGAUAUUGAAAGCCAAAACAAAAAUAUAAAUGUGAAUAGAAUACUAAUAAAACGAAAAAAUCUCCAGUGUGGAGCUGCGCACCUUAGCGAGCUUGGUCAUGUCUCGGUUCUAAGAUACAGAGUGUACUCUGCUUCAAAGUGUUCUCGUCGAGAUGAAUAGUCAUGUCUCUCUUCUAAGAGAAAAGAGUGGGUUAUAUAGUUCAUACAAUAUAUACACGUUCAAGAACCAUUAUGCAGUGUGGAUGAAAAAUGCUUAGCGAGCUCGGUGAUGUAUCGUUUCUAAGAUUCAGAGUGUUCUCUUCUUGAAAGUGUUCAUGCUGAGUUCUUCGCCGAUAUGAAUGUUUAUAUCUCCCGUAUAAGAGAAAAGUUAAUUACGUCUUCAUCUUCUCGAUUCUGUGUUUCUAACUUACAUGUGUUACUAUCUAGUGCUUCGCAAUAUGCACUGACAGAGCACACCCGUAUAUGUUCUGGAAAGUCUUCAUGAUGGGAAAUAAUCUUUACGAUGGUACGGUGAUGUCGUAGCUUAAGCUUUACGUGAUAACUCAUUCCACGAGUGGUUUUUUUAAUUUUCUAGAUCAAUGAAACGUUUCCAAAAAUUCUGUAAUAGCAAAACCAAUUAAGGCAACUAAUUUGUGAGAGUCUCUGUACAAUGGACACGUGUCAUACAUGGUGUGAAAGCAUUAACUCCAAUGCUCCUCUUUUAAUAUAUAAGGGAUACAUUUAAUUGGUUUGACCAUGUUGGCAUUUGAAUCUAAAGGUUAUCCAGAGAGAUGUUUAUGUAUAUGCAGCUUGGGAGUUCCAUGGAAAAAGUAAGAAUCGCAGACUUUGGGUUUAAAACCCAAUGGAAAGGUGAUACAAUAGAGCCAACCCGUCAGUUAUUUGUCCUGCGGGUUAAUUGUUUGGUUUUUGCUGAACCGGGAAUGCGACUAUACGUGACAGGCGGGGAUAUAAACAACGGAUGUGUUGGACAUAAGAUCUUGAUGAGCUUUCGUUGAAGCUGUUAAUCAGCUUGGCCGUAGUGAACGUGCCUAAGCUUUCCUCUUCUCUUUGUUCCUGAAAUUAAUAUCUGAAGGCUAUUAUAACUGUAAGCAGUGGGGCAUACCCAUAUAUUCUCUUGGAUAUUUUCUUUCCACCAUAGUAGCCACGCCUAUGGCUGUUCUGAAUCUCUUUAAUAACCCUGGCUUGACCAGUUUAACAAUAACCAUGGCUUCAUUCUUACCCUGGCUGUUUAUUUCUUUUUUUCCUGUAUUUCAUGUUUCUCUACUACAGAUAGCUCCUUUCUCAUUUUCUACUUUCUUUAUAUUUUCUUACGAACAGAAAUACAGAAAGGAAAAGUGUAAGCAGGAGAGUUCAGAAGCUACCGGCAUAUACUUUCACAGAAUAGUACUUAUGUGCUUUCCUGAGCUAUAAACCACACAUGCCUCUAGAAAAUGACUCACUCCUUACAGAGGCUAAUAUCUCUAAGGCAACAUGCUACAGAGGGACAAAGGGACCCCCGUAUCUUUAUAUAAUUGUUCUUUCUUUCACAGGACAGCUCAAGAGAAGAAGAUGACACCUAUCGAAGAAAUCAAAUAUCUUGACAUGUAAACGUAAUGAAUUUCAGUUUUCUAACUGGAUAACAAACCUCUAAUAUUUUCUUUUUGUAAUUUUGAUUGUUAUAGGGUUACUUAUAUAUUUAAUUUUGUCGCUCUUUCUUUACCAGGAGCAUUGAGAUCGCAUAAUCUUUAAGGCUGAAAAUUGAAGUUCAGAAAUGCCUCCCAUUUGCAGCUCGAGGUAAUGGUUUCACCUGCAUAGCCGCUAAAAACUAUCAUUUUUUGCCUCCUUUCUAACCAAAAAGAGUAUUAGUACUACAUAUCAUGCCUACUGUCUGAUGUUGUUUUAGUUUGUCUCAUAUGAGAGAGAGAGAUCUUCGAUGUAUACAUAUAUAAUACUUGGGCAAAGGUUGUAUGUGUUUUGAUUGAAGAUGAACUUGCAACGGUGUAAGCAGGGGAUUAGCAAAGGCCCCCGUUAAUGGAUUGUUGUUACCUUUUAUACCAAGUCAUGUUCCAUCCGGUAAAAGAGGAACCGGGUUAUAUUGUGGAAAAGGUUGCAGAAUUAGCAAUCAAUGAAUUUUUAGAUGCAACCUGCAAGUCCUCUCUUUUGGAUUUUUUAUUAAUCAUAACUGAUACUAUGAGGUCUUAGAGGGUGCGUGAGAAUGGAACGGUUUCAGAUGUCUACGAGGUAUAGUUCGUUACUCAUUACUAGAAUUGUUUUCAAGAUUCUCAUGGCUUGCCUUUCUACUGCUUCUUAAUGUUUUUUGUUUUGUUUUUGGCAUCAAUCAAACAUUCAUUCAAAAGGGAAGCUACUCCGGUUCGUUUAGACCAGCUACUAGAGCGGAUCUAGGUUGAACCAGAACGUGACCUCGUGAUCGUCCUUCCUUGGCCAGGAAGUCCGCACGGGUAUUGUUGUCACGAGGUACGUACGAGAAUUCAACAUCAUGAAAACGAGAGAAAAGAAAUUUAAUAUCGUCUAAGUCCGGUGCUAAGGCAGGCCAUUCUUCAUCUCUACGAGUGAGGUUUAUCAGCUGUUGACAAUCAGAGCCGAAGCUAACCCCAUCAAAGCCUUUUCGCGGGCUUCUGUCAUCGCCCAAAUAAGUCCGUUAGCUUCUGCGUGAAUCGGAGCUUUUGCACGAGGGGCACACUUUUGUCCCUGCAUUAGCACAAUAUCACCUUCUGUUAAUACGAAGCCCAUACCCAUCCAUUCGUCCUUAUCAGACCAGGAGCCAUCUACUUCACACCUGAACCGCUUUCCCGCGUCAGGCGGAACUUGGGUAGGCCUCUGUUCUUGAUUUGAAUAAAUUUAAAUAUAUAAUGUAUCCUCCAAGUUUCUCUUUUCUCGGAUGUUUCACUAAUUUAUGAACUUAUUUCUUAAAGUAAAUAACCUUUAACUUUUUAAAAUUAAUGCAUUAAUCAAAAGCAAAGGAAUGUGAGAUUAAAUUUAUUAAAGAAUGACAACACUAUAUAUGCAAAAAUACCACCCUAAUAAUUUUGGUUUAUCAUAUUGACUAUUAUAAAAAGUAAAUAUGAUAAACGAUUUAACCGUUUUAAACUCAGCAUUUGUCCAUUUUGAUGAAAGUAAUAGAUUUUCAAAUACGACCCAAAAAGUGUUCAACGGCAACUUGUUAUGACCAAAUAAUUCUUAUUAAUAUUUUAAUUUACCAGUUCUUUAAUUUUCCAUAAAUAAGCAAUGCAGUAGUUCAAUUUUUCAUUUACCAUUUUAAUAAUAUACUCUAGUUUUUUUCAUUUAAUUUACAAUAUAUACAAAUCUUACAUGUUACUUGAUGAUCUCACAUUUAAAUAUUGGUUAUGGUUGCAUCUUUGUCUUUUUAACUCUUCUUGAUCUUUUCGAUCUUGUACACAAUUUUGGCUACAUUUAAUAACACUGUAAUCAUGUAUUUUAUAAAAAGUUCUAAAUUUGUUAUUCACACUUGUAUUUCUUUAAAAUAUAAAUUAUUAUUUAUUAGAAAUAAAUCUACAUAUAUUAAAACAAAUAUUAUACUACUUUAUUGUCAUAUAGAAAUAUUCAGACAUUUAUUGUUAAAAAAGUAAUAUAGAAUUUUGAUUGGACAUUAUAGUCCCAACAUUUAUGGAGGAGAACGCUUGCAAAAAGCCCGGCAUUGACAAGACCCCUUAAUCUCCCUCUCACAAACACUUCUACCAUAAGGUCCAUAUACCUUUACACAUAAAGAUUUACACAGU